rnacentral:rRNA from 1 species
GACGAACGCUGGCGGCGUGCCUAAUACAUGCAAGUAGAACGCUGAAGGAGGAGCUUGCUUCUCUGGAUGAGUUGCGAACGGGUGAGUAACGCGUAGGUAACCUGCCUGGUAGCGGGGGAUAACUAUUGGAAACGAUAGCUAAUACCGCAUAAUAGCAGUUGUUGUAUGACAACUGUUUGAAAGGUGCAAUUGCACCACUACCAGAUGGACCUGCGUUGUAUUAGCUAGUUGGUGGGGUAACGGCGCACCAAGGCGACGAUACAUAGCCGACCUGAGAGGGGGAUCGGGCUAACUGGGCCUGAGACAACGGCCAGACGCCUACGGGAGGCAGCAGUAGGGAAUCUUGGGAAAUUGACGGAAGGCGGACCGGGCAAAUCCGGGUGAGUGAAGAAGGUGUUCGGAUCGUAAAGCUCGGUUGUAAGAGAAGAACGAGGGUGAGAGUGGAAAGUUCACACUGUGACGGUAUCUUACCAGAAAGGGACGGCUAACUACGUG